UUGCUCCUGUUACCGCUGUUAUUAUUAUUAUUAUUAUUAUUAUUAUUAUUAUUAUUAUUAUUAUUAUUAUUAUUAACACUUAACGCUAACAUUUGUAUUUGUAUCACAGAGAAUGCACGCGGAUACACACAUACACAAAGGAAGAACGCGUACACAUACAAAGAAAACAAACACGUACGAUCGAUCGAUCGCGAAAAGGUAUAGUUGUCGUUGGAUGAUAUGGUUGUCUCGAUUUGAAAUUUUACCUUCGAGUUUUGCGGACGAAAAUACAUAUAUCUCCGCGGUGGAACUAUUAAAACGCGGUUGGUGAAAUUGAAAUAAAAUUAAGUACGGUCGAUAUAAUUUAUAGUUGGUCUCUAAUCGACAAUAGUUAGCGUUCGGAGUUGUUUCAAGUUUAAUAUUAGGCCGCAGCUAGCCAUUUUUGAUUGGAGUAACAUAUCCGGAAUAAGUAUGGUUGAGAAAAUGUACAACUAUAGUUAAUCAUUAAUUAUAGUUACUCUAAAUCGAGCGUGAAAUAUAGUUGAGCGCAUAUAAUUCGAUUUAAGUGACAAAUUUUUUGAAUAAGUGGUUUAUUGAGAAGAUACGUAACUAUAGUUAACUAUUAACUAUCGUUAGACAGCCGUAUCUCGGGUAUGAAUUAUAGUUAAACAUACAUAAUUGAAUUUAGUGCGAAAUUUUCUAUCUGCAAUAAGAAAUUUAGGAAAAUGUGCAACUAUAUUUAACUAUUAACUAUAGUUACUUGGAGCGUGAACUAUAGUUGGGCGCGUGUAAUUCGAUUUAAAAGACAAUUUUUUGGUAUAUGCGAUUUAUCGAAAAGACACGUAACUAUAGUUAACUGUUAACCAUAAUUACGGUGCUCUAAAUCGGGUGCAAAGUAUAGUUGAGCGCAUAUAAUUCGAUUUAACAGGAAAUUCUCUGCGUAGUCGCGUCAUAAUUUCAUUAAAUAAAUCGAAUCGCGUUAUAUAGAUGCAAGUAUAGUCGUUUCCUCGUAGUUCGAACAUUUCCAUCAACUAUACUAAUCGUUAUUGUUCGUGUGUAUGUGAUAUUUUUACCGUCGAGAGACGUUUGCGAUCGGUUAACGUUUGAUUUCGAACCGCGUAAUCGAUAUUCGACGAUGAUUAACUAUAGUUAAGAACUACUAUACUAACGACUAUAUACCAUCGAUCAUCGUGAGCCUUGAAAAAGUAUAAAAUAUUUCGUCGUCGAGAACCGAAACGGAUUUCACGACUAUUGAAGCAAGUAUAUGCUGCCAUUACCAACUAUAUUAGAAAUUUUACGACAACUAUACUAGCUUUUACAAAAUCGAGCUACGAGCACAUGCGUUUUUUCUUAGCUUGUAAAUUCGUCUCUUGACUCGAAUCUACGUUUUACUAGUCGUAAGAGAGAAAAGAAAGAAAACAAAUUUUUAGUCCUCUCAACUAUAUAACUGUAUCAACUCGAACUCGAUCGAUCGUGCUUCACACGAUGUUCAAAGCUGCGUGCGCUUGUUCGAUAAAAACAUACGAAGAGCAAAUCUCAAGCGCGUCUCGUAUCUUCUACUAGCAACUAUGUAACGAUAAUUACUAUACAUACUAAUCGUAACGUAACGAAAUUAUUGUUAAACCGAGGAUUCGGGGUGAGAUGGUAAAAAUUAAGUCGAGAGCAAGGAUGGACACGUAGGAUUUUGGCUAUCCAAUUUUUUUAUCAUUUUUUCUACUUUUCUUUUCAUUUUUUUUUUUUUCACUUCUUAUUUUCCUUUUUAAGUAGGUGUAAGCGCGUGCAUCGAAACGAAACGCGAGAAAAAGGAAGCCAUGGCCUGUUAGACACUCGACCGUGUCGGCCAUAUUGGAUUGCGAGACUUUAACGAAUUGGUGCUUUGGAAUGUAUUAGACUGAAAAAAAUUAUUGUUGUACGUUUUAGUAGAAAACGAUAAAAGAAAAAACAAAUCGCAUACUAACGAAGAAAACGAGAAGAACAAACUUGACAGGAGUUCUUUUGCUCCGUAUUCGAUUAAUAAUUAGUGAAAUAUUAUUUCUAUUUGGAGCGUUUUAUAUAUAUACAAUAUAUUAUAUAUUCGCUAGGUUGCACACAGACAAAUACAGACAUGCUUACACACACACACAUACACACAUAUACACAGACACAUACACAGACACACAUUUACACGGUAUUUUGCGUACAGUGAUGGGAAUCAAAUCGCCAUUGUGAUCGGACAGUUGUUUGUAAGAAAGCUAAUUUAAGAAAUUAUCGAUAACAUCGAUGAUGUCGCUGAUAAAGGCGCCAUUUUAAAAUGGCGGACAUCUUCAUAUCGGUAAAAGAGGGAUAAGAGUAAAAAUUAAAUUAAAAUUAAUGAUCGAAUUUGCAGGGGCACUCUGCGUAAACAUUUGUGAUUCUAGUAGGUUAGAUUUGUUAAAUUCGAUUGUAUUUCGAAAUUCUUUUUAGAGGCGUAUUCGCGUUGAAGGAAAAUAUUUCUCGCGGCGUUGUUCCUCAUUUUCGACGCUCGAAGCGUUCCCGCGACAUGUUCGAACGAUUUGCGUGGAACAACUUUCGAAUUUGCUUAGAGUCGACGGUUUCUUAAUCUCGAAAUUUUCGUGUUUUCGGCUGUAGGAAUUUUUUUAAUGGGACACCCGAGCCAAGAAAAGAUUAUGUACAUAAAAAGAAAGAGGGAUUUCGGUAGACGAGUGUCCUUGAAAAUUGUUCGAGGUUAGGACCGCCGAUUGGUGCAAAGCUUUUCCACGUCGUUGCAAUUUUUUGGCGUUAUUCGUGGAACGUGAUAGCAAUUACAAAAUUAUUAAUUAACCUUCAACGGUCCACUGGUAAAAUUUUAGUAGGCGAAUUUUCGAUUAGUCGAAUUUUUAUCGAGUUACGAAUUUGUUCGUUUGUGAUUAAAGAAAAGAGAGUUGUAAAAGAGGGAAAAAUCAUUUUCGAGGCGGAUAUGUUCGCGUUGCGAUUCCCAACACUAACCUCACACGUGUGUAUACAACAUAUAAACGCGCGCGCGCGAGCGCGCGAAAUUAACAAAAAUGGCAAGCGAUACUUUGUAUGUACAACAAUUAGCAGUUCUGUUCGAACGGAACUGAGCGUGGACGAGUGUAUGUAUGCGUGUAUGCGUGUGUAGAGAGUGGUUGAGAUUGGACGAUAGGAGAGAAAGGGACUCGGUGUGCACUCCGCCCAGAAUGAACGGGAGGAAAAAGAAAAACAACGUGGAAGAUGAAAUAUAAUGGAAAAACUACUUCGUCGCGCAGGUGCAGGGAGAUUUUUUGUGAAUUGGCAAUGCGGCGGUGCGGUUCGUCUUAAUGCGCCCGUGUGCAUUUAAUAGAAGUUACAUGACGUAGAUAUUUGAUAGGCAUGCGCGAACAACGUCCCAGUCUAUCUGAUUUCGCAAAUUUGAAAAUUUGGGAGAACGAGAAAUCAGGGACUUAAAGAUUUGAAAGAAAUACGUGAAGAUUAAAUUCCCUAGAUACAUUAUAGGUAACUAAUGGAAUUACAGAAUAAUUUGUAUGCUAUUGAAAAUGUUUGAAAUUGUGGGGAAAUUUGUAACUUUCAUAUAAUUGCAAAACGGAGAACCACAAAUUAAAAAAAUUGUAGAAUUAAAAAAUUCCAAGAUCGCAAAUUCCUAAAAUUGUGAAGAUGCAAAAUUAUGAAGUUACAACAUUUCAAAAAUUGCCAAGCAAUUCUGUAAUUUCGUAACAUUGCUUUUAAAAAUCCCGGGAUUGAUAACUGAAACUUACCUAUAAAAGUAGUUGCAACUAUAUGGACUGUGGCGCCAGGAAGCCUCUUCGAAUAUCCGAAGAAUGUAACGCCCAAAAUUUCCAAAAUACGAGAAAAAGAAACAAGGUUAAAAGAUAGAAAUUCUUCGAUAGAAGAGUAAUUUUCCAGGAACAAUUCGGAUAUUCUUAACGAAGCUGGAUUCCCCCAUGUUCGCGCUUGUCUAGUAAUUUACGCGUUCUCCGCAAUGGACAUGGUGGAGCCACAUGUACAUCAACAAUAUUAUAUUCUAACGAUUACUAAUUAAAUAAUGUACAAUAAUUUUAACGAUUGCUAAAUGAUGAUGAAUAACGAUGAUAAUGAUGUCGAUGAAGUCUUUAAGCAUAUAAUACAGUGUUGCACGAUGAAAAUGAUGGGAAAAAACAUAUGAAAGAUAGCAAAUGAAAAGAAUGAGAGUGAAUGAGAGUGAGAGGCGACGAGGAAACGCGAAUCCUGAAUGUAUAGUUACAAAAAUCGAGCGACAGAUGUUAAAGACGAAACCGGACGGGAGGAGCUACGAGAUAAUGUAUCUGUCUUUUAAAAAUCGAUGUGUAUUUUUUGCGAGGAAACGAGGCGAGAAAUAUAUUGGAGAAAGAACCGAAGACCGUUGUUGCCAGUUUGUGUUCCACGGGGCUGACUCCUUUUUCGAGUUAGUUGGUAUCCCUGACGUUUAAAUUUCUUAAUAAUUCGAAAAAUUAUCCGAAAAAACUAAAAAGAUUUAUGGAAAUUUAUUUUAGUUUUGUAUAACUCUCUUAGCUUCUUUUUUUAUUGAAGGUUUACAAGUAUCGUGCAAUUUUAACUUUAUUUUUGGGUAUUCUCCGAAACUACUAUAGGAUUACAAAAUUACUGAAAUUAUCUUUUUGCGAAGAAAUUAUUUGAUUUUGCUAUUUGAUUUCUAGGAAACCAAAAGGAAAUUUGUUACUGUUUUAUUUGAGAUAAGUUAUUUUAAAGGAAUGAAAUAAAUGCCACGAGAUCAACUCAAAUAAACUUCCAUCUUUUGAGCAAUAGUUAAUAUCGAAAGUGCCCCCUAAGCAAUGAUUCGAGAAAGAAUGGCUGAGAACCACUGGCAACGCGCGGUUGCCAAGUUGCGCCGCGCGAACAACGCUGUUAUCAAGUAAGUGCGAUAAUUCUGUCGGUUCCCUUAAAAAAUAAACAACAAUCAUAUAACAGAGAAAUAUAAAAGUAUUAAAUCGCGAAAUUAGAAGAGGAAAUUACUCAAGGUUCAUUGCAAUUUACAAAAUACCAAAAGGUUUAAGUAAAGAAAGUAAAAAAAAACACCUUCCGAAAAUAACUUUGGAAUCAUUCGGAUAUAAACCGGUGUGAAUAACAACUCUGUCAUAGUGGUAUUCUAUCACAAUUCAAUCGUCAGAAUUUUUGCACUUGCCCAAGAUUUAAGAAUAGAAAGAAUCCAGAAUUUUAUGAAGAAAACUCUGAAGAUCUCAGAAGAUCUCCGUUUUAUUCUGAACUCGAAGUGUCCCAAAACGAACGACUAAAUGGAAAACAGCUUUUAUUCAAAAAGGUAUGUAGCUAGCUACGUACAAAAUAUAUACAAAAAUUACGAGUCAAUGUUUUUGGGACGUUCUCGAAUUCUAUAUAGUAGGAAUUAAAAACGUGCAAUUACGUCACGUUAUACGUGUAAGAACAAACUUUUCUUGCGAUGUUUAAUGAAAAACACGCAAGUUCGAUCUUCGAGUGGUACAAAGUUCGAGUGCACCGAUUUUUUGAGAAAAUGGCAAAUUUUGUUUAAGGUUUGCUUGUUUCACAAAUUUCAUUUAUUAUAUGCAAUACUGUGAGAGUCAUAACGAACGAGAAGAAUGUCCCUCUUUAUUUCUGAUUUUGAGGGAAAUCUGCCAUCUUUUCUGAAACGUUAAUUUUUUCAACUUGGAUUUCAAAAAUACACAAUCUCCAAAUCCAAUAGAACACAAAUCUUAAAUUUCUUUAAGAAACAAAUCUCGAGAGAUUUUAAAGAAACUUCGAUAAAAGGAGUUCAAGUUUUAAAAAGAUGGAACUUUAAAAGGAAGCCUUUCGUCAGUUUUGACCAAGCAUACAAUAAUUUUACAAAAUCGUCCCGGAAGAGCGAUUUCAAAACGAACGUGCCCCACAUCCAGUACAACAAUAGAGAACAGAGAUAAGGAAAGAGGGCGCCGCAUGAUUUCCACGUUGAAUUCUAACCUAAAAAACUGCACCAACAACAAAGUCUAUUGAAUCGUUAAAGUAUAUUUAUUUUUCCUGGAAAAAGAAAGAUCCAAGAAACGUUCAAAGUUUAUUUUAAUAACAGAGAGAAGGAGCGCUAGAGAAAAGAAGACGAAGCUAUUUAUUUUUCUUACACAGUAUUGCAAAGCCUUUUCAUGGGGGAAAGAGAAGCGAUGGGGGGAGCGUUACAUAUGGCGGACGACGAGGGGCAACAAUUUUAUAAUCGAUGAUUUCUCAGACGAUUGGCGAUACGAAGUGGCGAAUGGCGAUAGAAAUGCGUUUAUUAUGUAAGAAUAAGAAGGCAGGAAUAAACAUAAACGUAGAAUGCGUGGUGUGCGAGUGAGAAGGAGAGAGACAGAGAAAAUCACAGAAGCCAUAGAGUUCAAAGAGAGUGCAUUGUGUACAUAUAAAAGAAGCAGGGACGAAGAAUCGCGAGACGAGCCGUGAAAUACAGAGGGUAACCGAACGACACCUUUGUAAAUUAGCUUUGUACAUUGUAUCCCCACCUCCCUUGUUUCUUUGUUUCAUUGUUGCUGCAUAAACCAUGGAGGAUGUCUGCUCACGUUGAAUCCCUUAUACAGGGUGAUGCAAAAAUCUUUAUACGUAGGAAACAUUUUUCUGACAGUGAAAAUUAUAAAGAAGAGAAUGUUCGAUAUACAAAUCAAUACAAAUAGAAAAAUUAUAAUAGUAAUAUCGUGCGUGUGCAGACCUUUGCGUCACAUUGUAUACUUCGUAUUUAACUCACAUUCGUCCCUCAUUUUCCUAAAAUAAUAUUUUCAAUUAAUUUAUUGGUGUCAACUUGAGUUCAGAUAAAUAGUUACAAAUUGGAAAAUUCUAUUACUGUAACAAUGGAAUUUUUGAAAAUUUAGACCGUGUUAAUUUGACAGAAAUAAUAGAAAUGCCCCGAUAGUGAAAAGAUGAGUAAUUAUAAGCUGUAAAAUUCCUUGAUCAGAAAUGAAAGGAACAAAGCUUUCGUAAAUUGACACAAGGGACGAAUGGAUGUUAACAAUUUCCAUUUAAGCAAAAAACUCGCAGGCAGAGGUAUAAGUAAACAUGAAUAUCCUUUUUAACAGAAAGAAAACAAAAAAGAAAUAGUUCACCUAAUUUUAAAGUCUUAAUAAAAAUUAUUUCUCCAUUAGUUUCUUUAGAGGUUAGAUUCUAUUGAGACGCCAUGUUUGCUCGCCAUCUUAAUUUUCUCAUAUUACUCACAUCCGUAGCGUUUAAAGAUAUAUUAAAUAUGGACAGAAAAAAGAUACGAGAAGUAGACGAAGAACUAAAAUUGCUGGCAAUUUCAAGGAUUUUAUCAAUCGUAAAUAUAUUUUAUUACUUGUACAUUUCCGUGAAAUGACAAAUCGAAAUAUGAAUACGAAACAGGACGACGGAUUUACUUUGGUACUUAUUUCGCGAAAGAUAAAAAAUAAAAGUAUCGUCUAUUGUCGACGGUUUCCAUCUCGUGACUCUGUUAUGUAUAUAAAUAUACAUAUUGCAUAUAUACAUACAUACGUACGUACAUACAUGUAUAUAAACAUAUAUAUUUUUCUGGGGUAAAGAGGGAGAAAGAGAAAAAAAGAAAAUGGGGAAAAAAGAAUAAUAACUGCAAAGACGUAUCCGACCUCGUGGACGCAAUAAAAAAAUUUCACUAUAAAUCGAUUAUGCAUGGGCAUCAGGGUGUAGAUUAAUAGGAGAAAGCGAGAGAGAAAAAUGUAAAGAGAUGACUAUUUUUUUGAGAAAAACAUUAUAAUAGAGAAAAACGAGAGCUUCAACGGGAAGCAAAUUGGGAAUUUCAAUUUUAUUCUUUAGUUUCUAAUGUUUAUUUAACAAGAUAUUCUGCCUGUGAGUUGAAAUCAAAUUCGAGAAAGCCUGAAAGAAAAACAAUUUUUCAUGAAUUAUAUAUGUUCCCUGAUUGAACAAUGAAUUGUUUUGCACUAAUUAUACGUAUACUCAUAAUUGCAAGAUAUAGAACUAUAUAUGAUUCGUGAAGUUGAUAAUGGCGCGAAAUUUGAAUGCUAAUUUCAAUAAAACUUUAGAUUUCAAUGAAGAUAUUGAAAUAAACUUGACAAAUAUUAAAAGAGACACGAAAUUUUCGCUAAAACAACGUGUGAGAUAAAUUACAGCGCCAAAGUUAAAUUUCUUUCAUCAGAAAAUGUAUUUUCUUCCUCAAUAUAUCAGAACGAAAAAGUCUUUCUUGAAUUAAAUAAUAAUGAUGGUUUGAAAAUGAAUGUAAAGGAGGGAAAACGUGUACAUAUCUCCUCCAGGUAUAAUCGUUAUACGAAAAAUAAAGAAAAUAAAGAAAUCACCCGUUGCAUGUACAUAGACCGGAAGACCGCAGGUAGCCAUAUUGUUAUUCGCGAUUAAUUGGAUGACUUGAUCGAGUCGACUGAUGUUCUUUCUCUUCUUUACUUUCUCUCACUGAACACACACUGGGCGUCCAAAUAAUUCCGAAAAUAUUAAAAAAUUGGAAAAUAUUCUUUCGCAUUUUGUAUAUUAAUUUAUUUCUCUUCCGAAUAAUUCUUAAUUUUAAAUAUAUUAUAUAUACAUAUAUUCGAAUGAAAUUCGAAAAUUAUAUAUAUAUAUAUAGAUAUAAUAUAUUUCCUCGUGUAAAAUAUAUAAUUUAGAAAUUGUAUUUUCAUUGUUAUUAAUUCAUUAUUUUAAUCGGUACCGAUACACUAUUACAAAUACCGAUAUUUUCUUUUUCUUGUUGUAUCUAGCAAGCAACAGUGUGCUAGGAAUAAUUUCUCUCCCUUUCCUUUUUAUUAAUUAAAUUAUAUUAUAUGUACAGAUCUCUAAUUUGGAUUAAAGAAUUCUUGUAAAUUAAGAGAAGUAGUAAAUGAUAGAAAAACGACUCUACGGUGAGCGUCGCUGUGAGUCUGACCGGAAGUGAGAGAAAGAGAAAGAGGGAGAGCCCUCUGUCUGUUGUAUAUUAUUUUUAUUUCCACCUUUUUUACAUGAAACAAAGCGAGAUCGGUAUUGACCGUGCUAUGUAUGGAUGAUAUGUUCCAAUAUAGAAUAAAUCUUUCAACAAAUACUCGGUUAUUAUUAAAUUCCUCUCAUUUUGUGAAUUUUAGUAACAGAGACAAUAUGUAUAGGAAUCAUAGUCAAUUAAUAAAUUUCAUUGUUUGACUAAAAUGCGGAAUUUACUAGUUUUCAGUAUUAUAUCUGACCUGCAGUAAUUAGAACGAGAAAUUUGAAGAGGAGUGGUGGGGAUGAUCGAGAAUGAUCGAGAAACUUCGCACGCUAUCAAUUUCAUCGAAGUCUUCGCCAUAGAUGGAUGACUUUGGAAGAAGUUUCUGGAUAUUUCCCAGAUAUUAAAUGAAAUGCACAGAGCAGUUCCAUUGGAAACAACAUCGAAUUUUCAUCGAUCCUAACACGUGUAAACUAAAAAAUUGCAAAUAUGCGAAAUUUCAAUGAAUUAUUUAAGUUACAUUGAUUGUUAAUUCAUUAGUUAUUUAAGGGUACUUUGUACACUGCGGUACAAUUAAGCAUAUUCUAUGUUACUGAAGCUUCAAAUAUAGAAAGCUGUACAUUCAUCGUGUAAAUUGUAUGUAUAUUGAUAAAAUGAUUUCAGUAAAUCAGCAAUAAAUUGAAAAA